rnacentral:piRNA from 8 species
CUGGUGGUCUAGUGGUUAGGAUUCGG